rnacentral:rRNA from 1 species
AUUGAACGCUAGCGGGAUGCUUUACACAUGCAAGUCGAACGAGUGGGGACGGGUGAGUAACACGUGGGUAACCUCCCAUCAGAGGGGAUAACACUUGGAAACAGGUGCUAAACCGAUACUGAUGGAUGGACCCGCGGUGCAUUAGCUAGUUGGUGAGGUAACGGCCCACCAAGGCCACGAUGCAUAGCGGACCUGAGAGGGUGACCGGCCACACUGGGACUGAGACACGGCCCAGAAUCCUACGGGAGGCAGCAGUAGGGAAUCUUGGGCAAUGGGCGAAAGUCUGAUGGAGCAAUGCCGCGUGUGUGAAGAAGGUUUUCGGGUUGUAAAGCUCUGUUAGUAGAGAAGCGGUAUCUAACCAAAAAGCCCCGGCUAACUACGUGCCAGCAGCCGCGGUAAUUC